AUGCUUCCAUCGCACUGGGGAUACCUUGAUCAAGAAGGCGGCUCCGCCGAACAGAGCGUGUCAUUGCACUUAGAUGGGUUGAUGUUCGCCACAUCUGCAAAUCGUGGUUGCUUGGAGUGCAUAAUUUUUGGCAGCUGGGACAGCGUUCGCGCUGUCCCUGU